rnacentral:rRNA from 1 species
GACGAACGCUGGCGGCGUGCCUAAUACAUGCAAGUCGAGCGAACAGACGAGGAGCUUGUUCCUCUGACGUUAGCGGCGGACGGGUGAGUAACAAGUACAUAACCUACCUAUCAGCAUGGGAUAACCACGGGACACAGGAGACAAUAACGGAUAAAUUAUUGAAAAGCAUGGUUCAAUCGUGAAAGAAGGUUUUGCCGUCAACUUUAGAUCGAUCCGCGCCGCAUUGGCUAGUUGGUAAGGAACCGGCUUACCAAGGCGACGAUGAUUAGCGGAACUGCGAGGGGGAUCGGCCACACUGGAACGGGGACACGGUCCAGACUCCUACGGGAGGCAGCAGUGGGGAAUCUUCCGCAAUGGGCGAAGGCCUGACGGAGCAACGCCGCUGGAGUGAUGAAGGUCUUCGGAUCGUAAAACUCUGGUAUUGGGGAAGAACGAAAGUGUGAGAAGCAAUGCACGUCUUGACGGUACCGAAUCAGAAAGCCACGGCUAACUACGUG